rnacentral:rRNA from 1 species
AGCGAACGCUGGCGGCAGGCCUAACACAUGCAAGUCGAGCGCCCCGCAAGGGGAGCGGCAGACGGGAGAGUAACACGUGGGAACGUGCCCUUUGGUUCGGAACAACCCAGGGAAACUUGGGCUAAUACCGGAUAAGCCCGCACGGGGAAAGAUUUAUCGCCGAAGGAUCGGCCCGCGUCUGAUUAGCUAGUUGGUGGGGUAAUGGCCCACCAAAGCGACGAUCAGUAGCUGGUCUGAGAGGAUGAUCAGCCUCACUGGGACUGAGACACGGCCCAGACUCCUACGGGAGGCAGCAGUGGGGAAUAUUGGACAAUGGGCGCAAGCCUGAUCCAGCCAUGCCGCGUGGGUGAUGAAGGCCCUAGGGUUGUAAAGCCCUUUCGGCGGGGAAGAUAAUGACGGUACCCGCAGAAGAAGCCCCGGCUAACUUCGUGCCAGCCGCCGCAGUAA